rnacentral:rRNA from 1 species
AACGAACGCUGGCGGCGUGCCUAACACAUGCAAGUCGUACGAGAAAUCCUGAGCAAUCGGGAGAGUAAAGUGGCGCACGGGUGAGUAACGCGUGGGUAACCUACCCUUAAGUUUGGGAUAACUCCGCGAAAGCGGGGUUAAUACCGGAUAAUAUUUCGAUUUCCUUGGAAGUUGAAAUCAAAGGUGGCCUCUGCAUGCAAGCUAUCACUUAAGGAUGGGCCCGCGUACCAUUAGCUUGUUGGUAGGGUAACGGCCUACCAAGGCUACGAUGGUUAGCUGGUCUAAGAGGAUGGUCAGCCACACUGGAACUGAGACACGGUCCAGACUCCUACGGGUGGCUG